CCGAAAGGUCGAAAGGGGAGAUUCAGCGUGUCUCGAUUACGGCGCUGGGCGGUCGUGCGACGGAAGACGUACGCGUCAUCCGCACCUUCCGUGCUCCGAACCGUAGUCGAACGCGUGCACUUCUCCCCCUGUAGGACGUCGCGAUCCGUUGGGUGCCGGUCUAAGGCCCGCAAUGGAGCCCGUUCGGACGGUUUACCGUUCCGGACGAACUUGCGGUGUUUCCCGGUCGGCUCGCUCGACGGUAUACAGAUGGCGCGGGGCCGCUACACAUUAGUUAGCGUCCGACCGGCGGCAAGCGCGCUCGUCGUGACGGUGAUCGGACCUGGUGCCGGUCCUGUCCCCGAGUGGCUGUUCGCUGCCGUGUUCUCGGACAGACCUCGUCGAAACGCCGAUCUGCGACGCUAUAGCUUUGGGUACUUUCAGGACCCGUCUUG
rnacentral:rRNA from 1 species